AGCUGAACCAACUUGUACUCUUGAUCUCCCCUUAAAAGCUGGUUUUGUACCUGAAUGGAGAGAAGUGCAGAUAUUAGAGACCUGGCUGAUGUCUGGUGCUUCAUUGCCCUGAAUAGACAGAAAAAUGCAGACCCUUGGGAAGCAAAGUGCUUGACAGAGCUGAAAGUGAACAGCAGAGGCUGGGAGGAAGCAGGGCCAAGCAAAUCCAGAAAUCCUCCAAGGCUGUAGCCCUAGGCCCAGCAGGUGGUGGUCAGGACAAAGUAGGAGCAUGUACAGUGUUGAGACCAGAGUCUUGGGAAAGCACCUGUUACAGGUCAGAGUGAAGGAUGAUCCCAGAAACAAGUCAGACAAGAGGCAGGUUUGUCCAAUAGAACAUAAAACUGUGACGCUUGAAGAUAAACAUGACCUUGACCAGCCCUGAGGCUACAUAAACACAGAAGACCACAGGGCAAUCCAGCUGUGUGUAUUACCUGAGCCGUGGGGAGGGAUGCUGUGUGAUCACCAUUACCUGUGAGAAACUUGCCUUACUAUCUUCUUCCUACUGUUUUUGCUGCACUUACCCAGUAGUCGCCAAUUAGAUGGGCCUCACAAGACUAAAAAUCGUCAGAAUUUGUCAAGAUCUGUGGUCUCAGUUGAAUGUUUCUGGAAGCCGAAUCAGACACACAGCAAUCAAAAUCACCAGGGAAUGCUUUUUCAGCAUUUUAUACCUGCAUUCUCCAAUCCUCUAAUCCCCAAGUAACGACAGAACAUCAAGGACAGUGUUGGUGUGGAAUCUGACAUGCACAUUUUUAAACCAGUCUCUAAGGAAUUCUAAUUUACACCCUUAACCCCUGGAAAAGAUAAUCUUCGAGAUUUUUAAAAGUCUAUUUUAAUAGACUUGUGAGCACUUCAAGCUCUAAGUCAGAAGAUAAAGUAAUAUAUAGAAUAGGUGAGUCUUUACAAAGCUCAUUUUUACCAAAUUACUGUUCGCUUUACCAAGUUACCCCACUGAUAUAUUUAGAUGAGCCAUUACACAUUCAUGCCUCUGCUCCUCUCUGACUAGUCACCUGUGCCAGGUGCACUCACAGGUUUUAUUGAAGACUUGGAAGUGCUAUAUGAAAUUCUGAAAUGUUCUCAAAGUGCCUGUAAAAUGUUUUCUUUUUCCUGAAAGCAAAGAUUUGUAGAAAGGUCACUUAACUGUUUUCUUACAGAAAAUUGAUAUUCAUGAAUCCAUACCAGUUCUGGAUGAAAUAAACAUCUUGACUGUCCUAUUGAGAAGACAUGAUAUUGGGGUGAAGUCCAAGGCAUGUCUUCAGUUUUGGCUUUAUAUUUAAAGUUAUAAACUGCACUCAAAACAGAACAAAAUAUGUAUAUGCAUUUGAGAAGUUGUAAAUGUAGUACAAAGAAUAAUAUUAAUGAAAACAAAAAGCACUUUAGGCUCUAAUUCAACAUUCAUGGCAUAGUUUAUAACAGUGAAAAUUGAAAACAUAUUAAAUGCUGAACAGAAGAUAAGAAAACUGUGGUAAAUCCACUAGAUGGAAUAUUAUAUAG